ensembl:lncRNA
AAAAUAUCUUAAGAUCUACAAAAUUCUACUGUGAAAAAAUGAUUUGCACAAGAUAACAUGCCUUCAUUUGCAAAUGAAAAUUUACUAGCUGUGGCAUAGCUAGAGAAAGCUUUGCAGUUGAAGAAAGCUAAAAAACAUGAGUGAAUGUUCAGAACGAGAUACUGUAUCAACACAUAUGGCAGCAUCUGCAGUGGAGAGUGGAAAGAACAUUGUCCUAUGAAGAAACACUUCUGGAUGCCUCCGUUUUAUGAAAUGCAGCCCAUUCACCCCCACUGUUUACAGAUGGUCACUGAAAACUUAAAAAUCUACUGAAAUAUCUAUAAUCACACACUGCAUUGUGAACUUCUGCCAGUAGCAAUACUGCACAGCCCAGAGCAGCAGUAACUUACUGUUUUGGCAUGUGCAUGGGCUUCAGAGGCCAGUUUUCUUACAAGUCACAGGACUCUUCAUUCUGUGACCCUAUUCUCCCCAGGAGCACGCUGCCCUUCACACAGACUUAACGCUCUACAGUCUGGACCUUCGAGAGGCACCUUUCUCAGAGAUGCAAACAAUAAUGUAGCAUGAGUUUUCUUUCAGCUUCUAAGCACAGAAAGGGAGGAGUUGGGGAGAAAAUAAAACAAAAAGGAAGAAAAAGACAAGGAAUAGUUGAAUAGGAGAAACAGAUGGGAAAAAAGAAAAAAGAUGAACAGAUGGUUGUUGUGUCGUAAAAUUUUUAUUUCUAUCUUUCUUUGUUUUUAAAUAAGCCAAUAGCAGUAUUUCACGUAGACGUAGAAUAACAUGGAAAAGAUAACAUUAACAUUGUCAAAUUACUGUUUAUGGCUUCUGAGUACAACACUCGUGAAGAAGUGACAUGAGUAUAAAGUGCAACUAUAAUCAGAGCUUGAACUAGAAUAACAGUUUCUCUUCUUGACCUUCCAGUCCACUGUAACUGUUAUAUUUCACCCCUUUUGGGAGCAAUAAUCAGUGUCUGCAUCACUGCAAAUAAACAAAUUAGAUAUUAUGGGCAUCUCUGCCCAGUUUUGGUGAAGAAUAUUACACUGGUAGUAUUACACGGUAGCAUCUCCAUAACAUACACAGAAACAUUCUCAAAAGUAUAAAAAUAUUAGAAGCCUGGAAACAGAAAUGAUGAUCCUCCCUAUGUGUACAACAGUACUUAUAGUAUAGAAUCUACUGGUUUACCAUUAUGACUUCUUAGUCACAUUCAUUAGCCUUUUAAGCUCAAUUUUUCUUUUGCCAUGUAUCUGUCUAAUGGAUGGUCUUGCACAGAUGCGUAACAGUUGCUGGUAGCUUCUACGGUAUAAUCCACACAUAGGACUUAUCUGCUCCGUGAUAUUGUGCUAAUGAUUCUCCCCUAACUCAGAACAGUAACAAUAUACUCUUUCUGUUUGUCAGAAUUGUUACUGUUUACCAGCUGAAGAAAUAGAUGACUGCAUCAUCAGCAUCAUUAAUAGCAAUAAAUAAUAGAAUCUAUUAUUAUAAAAUUCUCACAGUCUAUGUCAUCAUAGCAUGUCCUUUUCAAAUUUAGUCUUAACAUGGAUAUAUUUUUGUUUACUAAGAGGGUGCUCAAAAACUAUGCAACUCUUCAAUUUAUGUAUUUAUAAUUAAAAUGAACCACAUUAGAAAGGAAAUCUUACCACUCAAAUAGUCUUUCUAACCUUGGACCUGAAAAGGUUUUCUACCCUCAGAACCAGAUGCUUUGCACAACAGCAUAGUGAUCAAAGAACAAAGGUAAAAGGUAAAUGAUACUUAAAAUUGGUUUACUUAAAUACAUCAUUGACUUUGCUGCUAUUAACAACUUAAUCUCCUUUAUAUUGCAUCUGCUCAGAACAAAAUUUAACUUAAAUUCUCUCCUUCAAUCCACUAGUAACUUCCAAAAAUUUGUACACUUUCAAAGAAACACUUUUAUCUUUUUUUUUAAUUGUUUACCAUUUUAUUGUCUCAAUAACUUAGAGUCCUUUCUUGUCUUCCUUCUUAAUCCCUCCUGAAAAUGAAAUUUCAAGUUAUGCAUCAAUCUGAUUUCAACAAUGUUAAACUAGAGACAGACUUUUGAAUAAUACUGACAGUUCAGAAAUAAAAUAGCAUAUAAGAAGCAGGAAAUUAAUUUCAUGAUUGUUUCGCAGUCUCAUUGAUUUUGAAAGAACUUUGAUGGAAGCUCUCCAAAGAAAAAUCCUGAAGAACCACUCCCUCACCAUUUCCCAUCAGGCACCCAAGGGACUGAGUUGCCCUCAAUUUCAGAAGAUCAUUUUCAUCAGUACAACCUGUAUAUCAAUUGUAUAAGAUUUCAUGUUGUUUCUGGACUGAGAAUUGAUGAUCGAAGGGCUGG